AUUGAAUUGAAGAAUUGCUGGUACUCAAAUGGUGCGCACUUAUAAAGAAUUGCAUCAUCGUAUUCGUUGACAAGAGGAUAAUGAAAUGUGUUUGAACGCAUUGGGAAAAUUGAAGGAUGAAUUCGAUAUUGUUCAACAAAACAUGGCUACCAUUAUUGAGAGAAUUUUCAAUUAAUAUUUUUUUAGCUUUAAACAUGAUUUACAAUUAUUAUUUUCUAUAACAAAGGAGAUAUACACUAACACAAACACUCAUAGUCACAAUCUUAUCAUGACUAAAAUAUUUUAUUUUAGUUCUAAUCAAAAUUUUCAUAUUAUCAAAUUGUAGGCACAAAGAAAUAUCCUGGAUAGACCCAGACCAAAUCACCUUAGAGAUAUUUAAUGGUUGAAUUUUAUUCCAAGGAAAAUAUGAUUGUACUAUUCAAGAAAGUAA